CCUACGGGCGGCAGCAGUGGGGGAUAUUGGGCAAUGGGGGCAACCCUGAUCCAGCGACGCCGCGUGAGGGAAGAAGUAUUUCGGGAUGUAAAGCUCUGUCAGCAGGGAAGAAAGAAAUGACGGUACCUGACCAAGAAGCCCCGGCUAACUACGUGCCAGCAGCCGCGGUAAUACGUAGGGGGCAAGCGUUAUCCGGAUUUACUGGGUGUAAAGGGAGAGUAGACGGUUAAGUAAGUCUGGAGUGAAAGGCCGGGGCUCAACCCCGGGACUGCUCUUGAAACUAUUGAACUUGAGUGCAGGAGAGGUAAGCGGAAUUCCUAGUGUAGCGGUGAAAUGCGUAGAUAUUAGGAGGAACACCAGUGGCGAAGGCGGCUUACUGGACAGUAACUGACGUUGAGGCUCGAAAGCGUGGGGAGCAAACAGGAUUAGAUACCCCUGUAGUC
rnacentral:rRNA from 1 species